CGAACGGAUCGCAUAUAAUAUAAUCAUUUCGAUGAUUAUUGGCGAUAGAUCAUUCAAGUUUCUGACCUAUCAGCUUUCGACGGUAGUGUAUUGGACUACCGUGGCAGUGACGGGUAACGGGGAAUUAGGGUUCGAUUCCGGAGAGGGAGCCUGAGAAACGGCUACCACAUCUAAGGAAGGCAGCAGGCGCGCAAAUUACCCAAUCCUGACUCAGGGAGGUAGUGACAAGAAAUAACAACACUGGAAAUUCAAUUUCUAGUGAUUGGAAUGAUGGGAAUCCAAACCCCUUUCAGAGUAACAAUUGGAGGGCAAGUCUGGUGCCAGCAGCCGCGGUAAUUCCAGCUCCAAUAGCGUAUAUUAAAGUUGUUGCAGUUAAAAAGCUCGUAGUUGGAUAUCUGCUGGAAGCAAUCAGUCCGCUCUUUUAAUGAGGGUGUGUACUUGAUGAAUUCUGGCAUGAUCAUCAUCCUAAUAAUAAUAUUAUAUUAGGUUGAUUCCUAAUAUAAUGAUUACUAUUUGGAUGUGACAGUUACUUUGAGAAAAUUAGAGUGUUUGAAGCAGGCUUAUUGUUGCCUUGAAUACUGCAGCAUGGAAUAACAAUAUAGGAUUUCGGUUCUAUUUUGUUGGUUCUUAGGACUGAAAUAAUGAUUAAUAGGGACAGUUGGGGGCAUUCGUAUUUAACUGUCAGAGGUGAAAUUCUUAGAUUUGUUAAAGACGAACUACUGCGAAAGCAUUUGCCAAAGAUGUUUUCAUUAAUCAAGAACGAAAGUUAGGGGCUCGAAGACGAUCAGAUACCGUCGUAGUCUUAACCAUAAACUAUGCCGACUAGAGAUAGGAAAAUGUCACUGUUGACU
rnacentral:rRNA from 1 species